UUCAUUAAAUUUCCUGUGUGUAGAGUGUCCGAAAGUAAAUGCCAAUAUGGUUAUAGAUUCUUCAAAAAAAUGCUUUGGGAAACCAGAGCACAUUUUUUCGUUAAUUCUGCCGGAAAAAUGUUCAAAAUGUCUCUGUUGAUAAUUGCGUUUCAUUCAUUACUUGUUCGAUCUUCUAAAUUAAAAAUGUUAAUGUUAACUUUCAGUUUUUCAGUAGUUCGAUCAUUGUGGUGUUUGGUGCGACCAAUAAUUUUUUAUUUGUUUACUAAUACAGUCUUCUCUGAAUUUAGACGGUGGAAAUGGAAAUUGUCGAAGUACUGAACAAGGAGAGGAAAAGGCAGCAAUAUUGCCAGAUCAUUGCCCCAGCUUCUCAAAUGGUUCAAUCGUAGAUAUUAAUUUGGAACAUUGGAAAUUUGACCUGGGCCUACAUUAACAUUCGAUUAAGCGGCCAUUGGUGACAUGAAGCAAAAUACCACCAAAGGCGAAUCUCUUUCAAAUGGGUCUUGUCUGAGU